GGCUCUAGAGAGCCAAACCCUAGUUCAUCAUAUAUCAUCCAAUUGAAAGGAUGAAUCGAGGCUCAAAUUCAAGAAGGAACAUGAAUUAACGAUCACCGAAGCUAGGGGAUCAUAAGGAAUCAUGUCAAGAUGGUUGAGAGCGUGGAAGGCUAACGGGCUAAGAAGACUCAAGUAAGCGAACGCAAAUACGGACGCGCAAGUAUGACGAUUAUCGUGAGUCAUGUUAUACAGGUUUAUGGAUUUCUCAUCAUUGAGUGUAUGCGGUCGAAGAUCGAGUUAAGACAUGGAUUGUACGUGUGGGUGCAUGGUCACGUAAUUUAGUAUAAGUAUGUCAGGUCUUAAUUUAAUAUAUAGAAGGGAUUAAAGUAUUUAAGGUGAAAGAAUGAAUAUAAUGAAAGAAAUUUUAAAU
rnacentral:lncRNA from 1 species